rnacentral:lncRNA from 1 species
CCGCCUGCUUCCUUCCUCAGCGCUGCUCCGUCCUCCUCCGCCUGCUCCCUCCACCUCCGCGACCGCCACCGCCUCGUCCGCGUCCAACCUCCGCCUCCACGACCGGCCGUCGCCUCGUCCGCGACCGCCUCCGCGACCGACCGCCGCCGCUCGUCGUCAGCUCCCGCAGCCUCUCGCUUGGCUCCGCCGCGGCACCGCCAUGGCCGCCCGCCCGUCCCUCCUCCGCCUGCUCCCACCCCCGGUGCCGCUCCGUCUUCCUCCGCCUGCUCCCUCCACCUCCGUGACUGCCGCCGCCACAUCCGCGACCGCUGCCGCCUCGUCCGCAUCCGCCUCCGCGACCGGCCGUCGUCUCGUCCGCGAUCAACCGUUGUUGCUCGUCCGCGCCUCAUCGCCUCCGGGACUGGCUGCCGCUCGUCUAUGCCUCGCAUCGCCUCGUCCACGACCGGCUGCCGCCACUCGUCCGCGCAUCGCCUCGUCUCCGUGACCGCCGCCGUCUCGUCCGCGUCCGCCUCCACGACUGGCCGUUGUUGCUUGUCCACGCCUCGUCACCUCCAGGACCGGCUGCCGCUCGUCUACGCCUCGCAUCGCCUCGUCCGCGACCGGCCACCGCCACUCGUCCGCGCAUCGCCUCGUCUCCGUGACCGCCGCCGCUCUUUCGCGCCCGCCUCCACCUCUCCUCCGCUUGCACCGACGAGCUCAUCCUAUUAUGUUGAAUUGCUCACAACCGCGUCCUCCCGCCCGUCGGUCCCUCCCCUGCCUCACACUCGCGCGGCUCCGUGGCUCAAAGUUCGUUGUGGCGUGAAGAAGUCCUAG